GACGAACGCUGGCGGCGUGCCUAAUACAUGCAAGUCGAGCGCAGGAAAUCAUCCGAACCCUUCGGGGGGACGUUGGUGGAAUGAGCGGCGGACGGGUAAGUAACACGUAAAGAACCUGCCCUCAGGUCUGGGAUAACCACGAGAAAUCGGGGCUAAUACCGGAUGGGUCAUCGGACCGCAUGGUCCGAGGAUGAAAGGCGCUUCGGCGUCGCCUGGGGAUGGCUUUGCGGUGCAUUAGCUAGUUGGUGGGGUAAUGGCCCACCAAGGCGACGAUGCAUAGCCGACCUGAGAGGGUGAUCGGCCACACUGGGACUGAGACACGGCCCAGACUCCUACGGGAGGCAGCAGUAGGGAAUCUUCCACAAUGGACGAAAGUCUGAUGGAGCAACGCCGCGUGAACGAUGAAGGCCUUCGGGUCGUAAAGUUCUGUUGUAAGGGAAGAACAAGUGCCGCAGGCAAUGGCGGCACCUUGACGGUACCUUGCGAGAAAGCCACGGCUAACUACGUGCCAGCAGCCGCGGUAA
rnacentral:rRNA from 1 species